rnacentral:rRNA from 1 species
CGCUGGCGGCGUGCCUAACACAUGCAAGUCGAGCGAGGAGAUCCUUCGGGAUGAUCCUAGCGGCGGACGGGUGAGUAACACGUGGGCAACCUGCCUCAUAGAGAGGAAUAGCCUUCCGAAAGGGAGAUUAAUACCUCAUAACAUUGCAGUUUCGCAUGGAACAGCAAUUAAAGGAGCAAUCCGCUAUGAGAUGGGCCCGCGGCGCAUUAGCUAGUUGGUGAGGUAACGGCUCACCAAGGCGACGAUGCGUAGCCGACCUGAGAGGGUGAUCGGCCACAUUGGGACUGAGACACGGCCCAGACUCCUACGGGAGGCAGCAGUGGGGAAUAUUGCACAAUGGGGGAAACCCUGAUGCCAGCAACGCCGCGUGAGUGAUGACGGCCUUCGGGUUGUAAAGCUCUGUCUUCAGGGACGAUAAUGACGGUACCUGAGGAGGAAGCCACGGCUAACUACGUGCCAGCCGCCGC